CUCUAUCCCAUCAUCAGAGUCAAACACACACUCUGCUGCUGCUGCUGCUCUCACUUCCUCUUCCUUCCUCCUGCUGGCCACACACCCAAUUUGCAUCUGCAAGAAGCCCCAAGAUAAUCUGCGAAGUAUCUCUGAAGGAAUGGCAAGUGAAAGACUCAAGGAGCUCCGCCUAUUUUGCUUACCAAAGAAGAGGUCAAGAAGUGACUUGAUCACAUCUAUAAAUACUUACAUGGAAAACAGAAAUUUAAUAACAGAGGGCUCUUCAAUCUAGCAGACAAAGGUUUAAGAAGACCCAAUGAUUGGAGGCUGAAGCAGACUACAAAUAAGGAGAGUUUUUAACAGUGAGGUCAAUUAACCACUGGAACAAUUUACCAAAGAUUCUGGUGGAUUCUCCAGCACUGGAAAUUUUUUUCCCCCAAUCAAGACUGGAUGUUUUUCUAAAACACAGGCUCUAAUUCAACCAAAACUAUUGGAUUUGAAGAAGUAAAUCAGGAAAGUCCUGUGGCCUGUGAUAUGCAGGAAGUCAGACUAGAUCAUUUUGGUCUUAAAAAUAUAUGAAUCACAUCAGUUUAGAUCCCUUAGAGUCAGACUCUCUAAUGCUGAUUUAAAGACAUAUUACUGACCCAGCCUUCACUAUCUUCACCUUUCGAUUUGGCCAAACAACAUGGCGCUACACAGUGCUACACUGAGUGUAGCAUUUAUCCCAGUAGCAGCAUCUAUUCCACAGAUGGAAAGUGAGGGAUAGUUCAUAGAUAAUGUGUUUGUUUUCCUUUCCAUUCCAAGGGCUCAAUCCAGUGCCACGGAAGUCAAAGAGAGUCUGUCUAUUGACUCCGCUGUCAUUGAUUCAGAGCCCAAGUGAAUAGUUGGGCUGGAGGGAGGCAGUUGAUUAUUGAUCAUUUUAGAUUACAGAUGGUUAUCAGGCUGGCAACUUUCCAUUGCACCUACCGAUGAGAGCAAUAAUGAUUAUUCCUAUACGAUAUGUCUAAUACGGCAGUUGUCCAACAGAUAUAUAACAAUGUAGGGAUUUUAUCAUCUCCAAUAGCUGUUAACAGUUCUUCACUGCAUAUACAGAACAGCUGGCAAGAAGCUUAUCUUCUUCAUGCUAUGUUGCCAUCCGUCAUUACUGUUUAUCAGCUAAUAUUUUGAAAUGUGUACUAUGGAGGACAAAAGAAAUGUAAUCCUUCAACAGCUAUGAAUUUCGGGACUUGGAAAAGAAAGAGCACUGAGGAGAGACAAAAACUCUUCAAAUCACCCUCUCAAAGUGAAUGAAGUUACUUGCUUGAUUUUCUUUGUUACGUCUCCAUCAAGCCAUGGCAUUUCAUCCAUUUGCCAUGUAUUAAAACUUCAAGAUAAAGCUCACCUCUUGUUCUUAACCACAUUUGAGCAUCGGUGCAUUUUUACCUUCAUUUUUUCUUUUGUCAUAUCCGGUGGAAGGAUAAUUGAAGCUUAUAGUGUGUUAUUUUGAGGGGAUGCUGUCUAGUAAAUAGGAUAUAGGUUCUGAGAGUCAGGAGACCUGAGUUCUAAUCCUGGCUUUGUCACUAACUUGUUGUGUUAUCUUGUGCCAGUCACUUCACCUUCCUGUGUCUCUGGUCCCUUCCACCUUUUGUCAGUUGUGGCCAUUUAGAUUGAAAGCUCUCUGAAACGGUGAUUGUCUAUCAGUGUGUGUUUGUACAGGGUCCCUAGCUGCUACAGUAACACAAACUAAUAAUAAUCCUAUCUUGUGAAGAAACAGAUUUUAUUUUGACAGAUGUUUCUACUAGUUAGCCCAGUUUGUAAUUGUUUUUACUUUCUGGUUAAUUAUUUUGAUAGUAAAUGCACAUCAGUCUUACUUACACUGCUUGCUUCUUUCCCAGAUCGAAACCCUUCUUGAAAGUGCUCCAAUUUUUCAGUCACUCGUGUUGCAUGUAGUUUAGUAUUUGACAAAUGCUUGACAUUUUUAUCAAAUCUGUAUACCGUAUGAUGGAUGUAGUUGAGACUUGAAGCACUAUGUAAUCAAAUAUUACUGGGGAUCGUCACAAUAUUUAACACUGCUUCUGUCUUUAGUAGUAGUAUUUCUUAUUUAUAUUGUAGCACAGCUUAGAGUCCCCAACUCAGUAUGGGCCCGAUUGUGGUAGGCCCUGGACAAAUAUAUGGUAUAUUACAAACAUUGUCUCAAAGGACUUCCAGCUAACAGAUAUAUGAAAACAAACAAACAGGCAUGGAGAAGGAGGAUGGAGUAAUAGUAAUAAUAGGGAGUUUUUUGCAUAGACUAGUUUUGUGCACAAUAUGCAGCUAAUCAGUAGCAGUAAUCACCUACCACGGCCCAGCUCUGCCACCUUUACUUAAAGUGAGUAAUACUUUUCUCUAUUAGUAGUCCCAUAGAAAUCUUACAGCUCUUUUGACAGAUUCAUGAUUUCCUUGCUGCUGAAGCAUACAUUUCUUUCUGCCGUCCAUUUUACUCUUUUCAUAAUUUUAGUUGAUAAGCAGUAAUUGCUGGUGGCAACAUACCAUGAGGAGGAUAAGCUACCUGCCAGAAGUUAUGUUAUCUUGCUGCUCUAAUAAUUAGUUGAUUGAAGUUAAUGGUUAGUGGAAUUAAUUCACAUGAGUAAGUGCUACUCAACAUGAGUAACAGCUGCAGAAUUAUGUAUUGUUUUGAAAAUGCAUUUUUGCAUUUGUACUUAUCCUUUCUCCCGUUUGCAGUUAUUAUUCCAUUAUUAUGAAAUGCCCCUUUGCCUGUAAAAUAUUUUGCUCUGCUGUCACAUUUUAUUUUAUACAUUUCUUAAAGGAGAACAUUCAUGACUGAAAACUACUGUCCAUACCAAAGAAAUUUUCAAGGCUACAGAGUUUGUUAUAAUGUAAGGAGUGUCCAAAAUGUCUUAACCCUGACACACACAUUAAGCUACAACAGUGACACAGAACAAAAAAACAGGUUGGGCAGCAAAGAUUCUAAUUCUUUAUUUAAAUGCUGCACUUCAAGAUAAGUGACCCUGCAGUGUUGCUAUUAGGAGGACUUUAAACAAUAAAGGCUGUGUGUUGUCAACUUUUGCUGAACUGUUUGUCACUGGAGGGUAAAGUUCAAGGUUGAGGCACGUAUAAUUUAGAUUACAUCGUCCUAUGUUUUGACAUGAAUGAGGUGACUCACUGUUUCCAUAUUAUCCUGUUUGGCACCUGAUGUUUUCCUCUUACCCCACUACCAUCCCUUCAGCUACUUUUUGCCCAUGCCCUCCAUUUUUAAUUUCUUUCCAUCUGCCAUGGUUACAUGUGCCAUGUCUGAAAUGAAUCUGAAAGUUGCUUCACAAACCUCAAAGUACCUUUGUGCAUCUAAAUGAUUGUCCUCAAAAAGCUACUCCAUCAUUUUUUUAUUGAUAACAUGCUGUUGCCAUCUGAAUCCCAAUUUUCCCAUAUACUCUUCGUUAAAUACAUCACACCUUCUGUUUGCAGUGGUCAUAUAUUCCAGGCCUGCCCUCUCUAGUUGUCGGAGCAUAGACUUGGCAAAGAGAAUGCCAAUGUUCUGAACAGGCUCUGACAUAGGGGCCCAGAUACUUAGGUGCCUAAGUCCCAGUUUUAGGCUCCACUGCAAUCCACAAAACUCCUGUUCCUGCCAUCUAAUCCUGUGGGUGCCUAAACUCACUCAGCAUCUCCAUUCCCACUGCAAAAGUUCCCUAAGCAUCUAGGUUUCUACCUCUGGGCAUGCACACUGCUGCCUCACUUUAGAAGUCCAGACACCCAUCUCCAGCCUAAGCCUCAGCACAAUCCAUGAACUGGGGGAAGACAGGUGUUUGUCUGCCUAUUUUCCCUGCAGGGCCUGAUUUGGUUGGCAUGCUCAGAGCAUGCCUAAUGGAUCAAACCCCAUUCAAAAUCCAGGAGGAGAAAUAGUCCACUGAACUUCCCCAAAAUAAUUCUUUGGGCAGAUCUUUUAGAAAAUAUCCAAUCUUGGUUUUAGAAUUCUCAGGAUAGAGAAUCUACCACAACCCUUGGUAAAUUGUUCCAAUGGUUAAUUACUGUCAUGGUUAAAAAUGUACACCUUAUUUCCAGUCUGAAUUUGUCUAGCUUCAGCUUCCAGCCACUGGCUUCUGCUAUACCUUUGUCAGCUAGAUUGAUGAGUCCACUAUUAAAUAUGUCCCCCAUAUAGGUAGAUCAAGUAACCCCUUAACCUUUUCUUUGUUAAGCUAAAUAGAUUGACCUUCUUGAGUCUAUCGCUAUAUGGCAUGAUUCCAAAUCCUUUAAUCAUUCCUAUGGCUCUUCUCUGAACCCUCUCUGAUUUAUUAACAUCCUGCUUGAAUUGUUAGCACCAGAACUAGACACAGUAUUCCAACAGUGGUCGCACCAGUGCCAAAUACGGAGAUAAAAUAACCUCUCUGCUCCUACUUGAAAUCCCCCUGCUUAUGUCUCCCAAGAUCACAUUAGCCUUUUUAGCCAUAGCCUCACACUGGGAGCUCGUGUUCAAGUGAUUAUCCAUCACGACCCCAAAAUCUUUUUCAGAGUCACGGCUUCCCAGAAUGGAGUCCCUCAUCCUGAAAGUAUGGCCUACAUUUUGUAUUCCUAGAUGUAUACUUAAGUCACAUGCUAUGAAUUCUGUUUUCUGAUUGGUUGGCUUAAACAGAAGCAGUGCCUGAAGAAAUGCUUGGGAUAUUGGAUCUGUCAGGAAAAGGGUAGGAAGCACUGUAAGCAGAGAGAGAGCAAGAGACACCAACUGGCAGCUGCUGUUUCCUGCAUUCCUCUCUGCCUGGAGCUGAUGCUUGCUGGCUUCCCCUUUUCUCCCUGAUGAUGGUGGGGCUAAGGGCCACCUUCCUUAUCAGAAGCUCCUUGAUGCUGUGCCAGCAGCAUAUUUGUUACUGUGCCACUGUAAAGAAGGUUCUAUAGAGCAGUUGAUCCCCCUCAGCUUAAUAUCUGGCCAUACUGCAGACCCUAUGCUCCAUAUUUUGGACUGGGGAAAAAUAUUUUUCCCCCCCAUCGAGGGACAUUGCUACUGCUUGAGCAUCCUUCCUCUCCCAGCUGCUCCUACUAGGAGGUCGGCCAGUUGUUUCUUUGAAAAUCAUUAACAUUCACGAAGAAAACUCAAUUCACUUGUGAUUUUUAAAUGGACUUCAGCCCUCUUACAAGCUUCUUUACCCAUGCUCUCAUUCUUCACAAGGUAGCUUUUACCAUCCAUGUAAUCUUCCACCCACUAUCUUGUUAGCUCUAACUUCAUUUGUACAUACAUAUUGGCCCUGAAUCACCACUACUCUAUUCCAUUAUUAUUAUUAUUAUUAUUUUUGCUAGUGUAACUUUAAUGGAGUAAAGCUGUGUAAAACUACACUAACCCAGGGGUGAAUCAGGCCCAUUGUGUACAGCUCUUAAGUUUCCCUGCCUAAUUUCCAAAUAGCGUACGAUCCAUUUCUUCAUUCAUAUGCAUUAGCUUUUAGUGUCAUACCUAUUUUCUCUGCUAUCAGUAGCUUUGUGCUUCAGAUUACAAGCAAAAUGAGGAGAGAACUGUGCAAUAGGAGUAUCACAUCCUUCUAAAUAGAAACCGGAACCUCCUGGGGGAGUCCCAAAAAUGGAUGUAACAUAGGAAAUACACACUGGGCCUCAUUUUCUCUUUCAUUAGGCUAACUACACUCACUUCAGUAGAGUCAAUCCUAAUUAACGCCAGCGUACAUGAGGGCAAAAUCAGUCCCUUUGUAAUUAUACUAGAUUCUCCAGGGAGUACCUCUAAAUAUAGUUUUCCCCUCACUUUUCCUGCCCAGGUUUAUCUGGACUGUUGAUCAGCCAUCACCACAUCUCACUUGCUCUCAUCUGAUAAGCAUAUUUGUAUGAACCCUCAAGCUUUUUGAUGGGACAAAAAAGUAGUUGUUGUUUCCUAAAGGCAGCAGCUCUGUGGUGCACACUCUCCUCUUGGAAUCUUUUGUCCCUUAUCUCGUAGUCAAAAAGCUGCUUUGACAGGAACCAGGUGAUUUAAUUUCCCAUUGUCGUUGUUUCUAUCCUCCUAAACUCCCCAUUCCCGCAACUUGUUUCCAUCCCAUUACAUCAGCUUCAGAUUGUGAUACUUACACUCACCAGUAAACAGCAAGAAGGAAGCAUCACAACAUGAAAUCCAACAGAGUCCUUUCUACAACUGCUCAAUUUAAAAAAAAAAAAAACAAGCAUCUUUGUGCUCAUCCUACGCAUGGGUAGGAGCAUCGCGCUUUGUUGCCAUUUGGAUUCUUCAGGAGGUAUUCUUUCAUUAAUGGAUUUCAGCCAAUCCCUCUGGCAGCUGCUUGGUUAUCAGAUUAUUUGGACAGUGCUUGAAUGGAUGAGCAUAUACUACAGUUACCUCAUUCAGCACUGCUUCUCUGGAUUCUCUUGUGAAAAAUGUAAAUCUCUCCUGGUCAGCUGGGACAGCGUGGAUUCUCUGUGGGGCUGGUGUAUCCGUUCAGAGUUCUCUUGGUAAUGCCUUUCUGAAAGCAGCUGAGCACCACCUUACACAGACAGACAGUACUGAAAUCCUACAGACACCCAUCAGGCCACCUGAAAAGCACUUCACUGCUAUACAUAUUGGGUCUAAUUCCGCUUUCUCAUACACCAGUGCCUCAAGUGGAGUUACUCCUAGUUUUGCUGGUAUGAAAGGAGAAUGAGAACCACUGGGUUGUAAUUAGAGGCCUUAACUUGACAUGACUCACAGCAAUCUUGUGUAUAGAUGUAGCAUAACCCGCAGCCAUCUUGUAGGCUCAACCACUAUAAGCUGGAUACAAAAAACUAGUGUCAGUAGAAUUUGGCCUUGGUAUAGGCAGACAGAUAGAAAAGUACCAGCUGCAGCUCUACUAACAGGAGAUAGUGACUAAAUUCACAAAGUCAUGAAAAUGGGGAGAGAAUAGAAAAGCUCAGCUUAAGUUUCUUUCUGAUAAUAAGUAUCUGCUCUUGCUGUUGCUAGAAAUAUUGUUGUAGCCAAUUAGGGGUUAUUUUAAAUAAUUAGUGUAUUUUAAAGAGGCAAAGAGUCACAGGCUACUGCUGAUUAAGCAAUGCUAGCCUGACAGUAUAUCCCACUAACAAAGCAUAAAGAGAAGUAGGCCUUGAGAAGUUUUUACUAACUUUGAAAAACACAAAAGCUAAUGAGUAGGAACUGCAGUCUUAGGCAUGUGAACCCCUCUAUAGUGAUAUGAUGUACAACGAUUGGUUAGUGUUUUUGCAUAGCUACAUUUUAAGUAAAAUAGUUGGGUAUGGCAUAUAUAAGAGAAAUCCUCUUUUAACUAUUUAUAAUGAGGGUCAAAAGACAAGCUUGUUGGAACUUAACUCUGGUAUAAAGCUCAAAACCAAAGCUGCUAGAACUUUUAAACCUCUGCAUAACCCUACUCUGCAGAAGCCGGAGCCCCAACCAAGAUCAGUUCUUGACUGGCCAGACAGAUGUCUGUCUGUCUUUAUUGGAAGUGGUGAGAAUGGCAUGUGUAUUCUACAGAUUCAUUGUUUAUUGCUAAUAAAUACACAUAUAUGUUCAA